UAAGAACUGUGGUUUUUAUAAUCUACUACUCUGUAAGUACAAGUGACUAAAUGUUGCAGCCCAGCCCUUGAGUAUUUGUCCAUGCUUCGGCAUAUCUGGACCUUAUUUCCUCAACUGUAGAAAGAACAGGCUGGAGUAAUACUUUUCUUUCCUUUUUAAAAAUACAUUACUGUAUGGCAAAAAUAUUAAUAAUAUCAAAGUAACAGAAAUAACUGUAGAGAAGUUGCUGAUAAUCUCAUCAUAUCUGUGCUUUUAUUUUCCCCCAUUGCCACCUAGUAGUUAGUAAUAUACAUAUUUACUUUUAUGGAUAUGAUUUAUAGCCUGUAUUCACAGUAUACUGUGGCUAUUUUUAUUUUGUCUUUUGCUCUUUGGCACUCUCUGCAUCUUCCCAGAAAAGAAACAUAACUACCAUUAUCAAGCUUCUUCUGUACCAUUAUCUUCAUGUCUUUCUCUGGGCUUACAGAUUUAUUCUUUCUCAAACUGUAUUCUAAAGCACUCUAGGGUUUUAACUGCUGGUGAGACUGUUUCAUGUGGGAAGGGCAGGAACAGAUGCUAAACAGUAGGUCUCUAACCCCUUCAUGUCCCCACUCCAGGAGCAGUUCUACUUUGACUUAUUUUGAUACAUAAAUAAAGCUUGAUACCUG
rnacentral:lncRNA from 1 species